rnacentral:rRNA from 1 species
GACGAACGCUGGCGGCGUGCUUAACACAUGCAAGUCGAACGAUGAAGCUAGAGCUUGCUCUGGUGGAUUAGUGGCGAACGGGUGAGUAACACGUGAGUAACCUGCCCCGAACUCUGGGAUAACUGCUGGAAACGGUAGCUAAUACCGGAUAUGACCAAUGAAGGCAUCUUCUGUUGGUGGAAAGAAUUUCGGUUCGGGAUGGACUCGCGGCCGAUCAGCUUGUUGGUGAGGUAACGGCUCACCAAGGCGACGACGGGUAGCCGGCCUGAGAGGGUGAUCAGCCACACUGGGACUGAGACACGGCCCAGACUCCUACGGGAGGCAGCAGUGGGGAAUAUUGCACAAUGGGCGCAAGCCUGAUGCAGCAACGCCGCGUGAGGGACGACGGCCUUCGGGUUGUAAACCUCUUUUAGUAGGGAAGAAGCGAAAGUGACGGUACCUGCAGAAAAAGCACCGGCUAACUACGUGCCAGCAGCCGCAGUAA